rnacentral:rRNA from 1 species
GGUUGCGAUCAUACCAGCACUAAUGCACCGGAUCCCAUCAGAACUCCGCAGUUAACCGUGCUUGGGCGAGAGUAGUACUAGGAUGGGUGACCCCCUGGGAAGUCCUCGUGUUGCAACCC